AGACAGGGAAGAAGCCCACAGACAGAUGCAAGUGCUGGUUAAUGUUCUGAUUCUUGUGUUGGAUGACCAGGUCUUGGGUGUUUAUUUAUAUAAAUAAACAGAGGAGAACCGUUUAUGAACCUAUGGCAAGAGGAUGGCGUGAAUAAGGGAUCAUGAUUAAUAGAAUUCAGAGACAAAGGGAGAGAAAACAAACAAAAAACACCUCUGGAACUUGUUGGAGCUCUUGGAAAAGAAAAGCUGUGAGUGGAUGUUCAAGAGGGUAACCUAGGGCCUCAUGCAUUGGGGCAUUCAGAAGUUUCGUACUGGAUCAAAAACAACGAAUGAAGCCUGCAGUGCAGAGAAAACAUUGUGAUAUGAGGGUCUUGCUGUGAUGACUGGAGCUGUGGCAGCCACCUUGUGACCAUGAGGGAAAAGCCAAGAGACUAGUUGAGAAGCCAACUGAGAGUUUUACCGCCAACUGAGAGUUUUACCUCCAUUGAGCUGCUGGAUUUGCCAACUCUAGAACCACUCAUUCUGGGUAUCUCAUUAGGCAAGAUAAUAAAUUUCUCAUUAUUCAA